rnacentral:lncRNA from 1 species
GAUUCCGGAACAAGGAAGAGGCCACCCUUAACUGCAUUUCUAACUGGCAGAAGCUCAUCCGUUGAUUGUUUCUGUAAAGAGACGCUGUGACUUCGGGAGCCAGUGCUCAGCAUCCUAUGCACCCAAUAUAUAGAGAUGCAAGGACCUGGAAAAGCCGCCAGUCUGAUCGCCGUGCCUGCAGCUAAGGAGUGAGACUUGGGGACCUGAAACAGCUCAACUGGUCCGAUGACAGUCCUGACACCCAAGUCUUAUCACUGACUCCUGCUCUAAUACUCUUCCCACUGUGCCCUUUAAAAUGCUAAAUAAUAACCAGGGGAGAUGCCCAUGUGGUUUACUAGAAGAAUCUACCAUGGCCCACAGGCUCCACCAGCAUAGGGUCUCCUCGGACCAGAGGUAUCAUCCCUGCCCUGAACUCUACAGUUGUCUUGUACAACUUGGAUAGAGCCUGAGUUCCGCUCUAUCUGCUGCGUUCUCCACGUGUAUUGCUAAGACCAGUGGUGUUCUAUUGUCAUGAGAUGUUGCAGUUCAUCUAGAGAACAUGAGGGCACGUUUCUCACUGUUUGUCACUGAGGAUGGGCAGCCCUUGGCAUCUGGCGAGCUGCGUGGUGAGAGAGGCCGCUCACUAACCCGGAAGGCUAAGACUCAGAGAGAGUAGUCCAGUGUGCGGGUGAGUUCCUGUCGGAGGCCUCACAUCCUCUGCAGUAUAUACAAACACCCAGUGUGCCACAAGAUCCAAUUGAUAUGCAUGGUUUGAGAGUCCACUUACGUGGCACUGUCACAAGUGGGGAAGCUGGAAACUAUAUCCAUCGGGCUCUUCAAAUGAUCCCCGUGGCUCAGGGAUAGUGUGCUGUUUUGUUGCUUGCUUUUGCUGACCAUACAGACACCACCAGAAUAAAAUUGCAUUUAAAUUGCAAAGGCAUUGAAACAGAGCUGUCCUUGAGCGUUGUAACAAUACAGAAAACCGCAUUUUGCCAUUUUUUAAGCCCCUUACAUUUUUUUAAAAUCCUUUUCUUCUCCGAAUAGGCACAAAAUUGUUUCUGAGGUAGCAAAGUGCCUCUUUCUCUACAAAUAGGUCUCUUCCUGUUCGUGCUUUAGAGAUCGCAGAAGAACAGAAGCUCAUCUCAUAGGUGCAGGUGAAGAGCACGUGACGGGCGCAGGCGAAGAGCACGUGACAGGCGCAGGUGAAGAGCACGUGAUGGGCAAGUGCCGCAUCCUGGUAUUUGCUGACACCCUGAGCAGUUUCUUCUGAGAAACUUUAAAAGGAUGGAAACCUGGGUGUUGAUAGACCCUUGCCCCCCAGGCUGCUGCAAAGAGCUCGUUUCCUUGUGUUGCACAUCUGUCACUGGCCCUGCAUAAAUACCAGUCCCAUUCCAUGUGGGUUGUGUAUGCCUCACUUGUGUUUGUGAGGGUCUCACCAUCUUCGCUGCCUCACUUGUGUUUGUGAGGGUCUCACCAUCUUCGCUGCAGGUGCUUAUUCACUUUGGAACCUGUAAUAUUCAUUUAUGUACAGACAAGAGACUGAGAUGCACAGCAGUGAGCUGGUCAGGGGCUUUGUCCUCUGGGAACAUAGUCCUUUAUUUAUAGACAUCUUAAAACGAAGCUUACCGUUUGGCAAAGGGCGAGUAGCAGAUUUUAGUUUCUUUUUAUAACAGGAGAAAUGAGGGUGGGUUAACAAGACAGGGUGGGCUUUUGUGACUGAAAGAAACAAGGAUCAAGGUAUUCGUGCAUGUUAUAUUUAAGGCAAAAAGAUACCCAGGACACGGCUUUACCAGCCUGUGGAAUCUUUGUAGUUCACUUUAACUACAUUUGUUAUUUCUCCUAUCUGUGUUUAAACAACUGACAGAAUUCAGCCACAGGAGUAAGCAUUUGGGCUCACAAGAACAUGAUCUGUCCCGGCAGUGAAGGUACCAAGAGCAGCUUGGCCCAUGGUGGCGAAUGGGCAGCAGAGAAGAGGAAGUCAGGCUCAGCUGGCUUUUCUCCUGACACCUCAGCGCAUGGAAUGGUGCUGCCCACGUUCAGGCUGGGUCUUUCCUCCUAAGAACACCUCUCUCUCUGGGAACACCCUUGCCAGCAGAGUCAUGCCUUGUUAAUGCCAUCAGUGUUCCUUACGCCAAUCCAGCUGGCACUCAGAAUUGAUUAUCAUGCUGCCUGGGGCUGGGCUCUUGCUCUGCAGGCUUAUUAACAGCGUCAGGUUAGUGCCCAGGCUGCUUCAAUUGCACACUUUCUUCUGCCUUCCUCACUCCGAUAUCUUUUGCUGCCUCUUCUUUCGUUUUUUCAAAGUCAACAUUCUCACCAUCACGUGUCAUGUUUAGAUAACUUGUCAUUUUACAACUCGGCUUACGUUCUUGAUCAACUCCAUGAGAAACCCACAUUUGGAUGAUGUCUCAAACUGAGUCGACUUUGGAAAUUAAUAACAAUAAUUUAUGCAUAGCAGCUGUGUUAAAGGGCUGAGUAUUUGAGUCGAUCCCCCUAAUAUUCUGUGGUAUAUACAUAAUAUUAGUGUCAUUCCACAUAAACAGCUGAAGCAUACAGAAGUAAGGUGGUUCGCCACAGUUCAGAUAAUAGCAGUGAAAUAAGGUUUGAAUACAGGUGAUUUGAAUACAAGGAUAAACUGGAUGUCUAUCCAGUCAGGGUAGUCUGAAAAGAUGUAACAAGAACCGCAAUGUUCCAGUAGCUGGUCGAUGAAUUCCACACGCAUGCUGCUUUACAGCCACUUUGACUCCAUGGAGCUCAACCUUCGACCUGUUGAUUUGUCUUCUUCCAAAGCCAUGGAGUCCUUCCUGUUUGGCUCAUCAGUGCAGAAAGAGCAAGAGAGGUCUGUGUCAGGAGGCUCUAUGGGUAAGUCCAACGUGUCAGGCCUCACUCCAUCCCAUUGGCUGGGUCAGCCAGGGCCUGGUAGUAAAUGAGACAAGCAUGAAUCUUUGUAACAUAUUUGGAAUUUUUGAGAAAAAAUUCUCUGCAUAGAAAGAAAAUAAACUAGAGGGCAAAGUCCUGGUCUAGUUUCAGUUAAGCCAGGAAGAGAGGAUACAGCUUUUGCCAGAGGAAGCCAAGAGAACAACUGCUGAGCAAGAAAUGCUGAAAUAACUUAGGCGUGCCAACAGUUCAAGAGACGUCACUCUUAAUGUCUCAGUGAUCUGUGGUGAGAGCAAGAUGCUUGCAUGUCGCUUUUGAUUAAACCUAUGCCUGUUGUUUUGUAAGAUAGCACAAAAAGAAACAUCCCAUUUGGUCUUUGGGUCUGUGCAAUAAGUACUGUAAGCUUAAUUUUUUAACCAAAUAAACAAUAUACUGUUUGCUUCUCAAAUCUU